AGCCUGGAUGCACCUCUCUUAGACCUCAUUUAAGGGCUGACUGCAAGUGGGGAAAGGUUUUUUCCUGGAGGUCUUGCCUUGGUGAAGCUCUGUCCUACAAACUUAGAAUCUUCUCAUAGGGUUCCUCAGACUUCCCAGAGUGACAGAAGACAGGAUGAGAGGGUGCUGCUUCUUCACCAUUCACCAUCCCUGCUCCAUGUGUAGUUCUGAGAAGAAAGAAGACACAUAGCCAUUCUGUUUAUCUGAUUAUAGCAAGAAAUGCGUUUGUUAAUUACUGUUUUCAAUGUAUUUCUGUCAAUAAGAGCUGUUUCGUUCCUUAAAUAAUACCUUUUCAUGAAAACAUGAAUAAGAAAGCCUGGACUUGAAAUGCUCAAAAUGAGGAAUACAUUUUGCUUUUAGUUCUCAUCUGAGUGUCUCACUGGGCUUCAAUUUGUAAUAUGCAGAAUAAAUGAAGUUCUAAACCAUUAUAUAAGUAGAUACUUAACACCUUAAGAUUUGGACUGGAAUCUGAUGACAGCUUUUGUGUAUAUGUAUGGUUAUUACCAGACAUAUUAUUCAACAAGAAUUUCAUGAGAGAAAUAUUUUUCUUUCUGGCUGCCUAAAUUAAAAAAAAAAACUUACCAUAUUAGCCAGGAAGACAUUCAGAACACAUCUGUUUAGCACAAAUGUUAUUUUUUUCCCCCAUAAAAACAUGUUGCCAAGUGUGUCUGACAAUGAUGUACUUGGGGAAGUAUUUGUCUUUCUGUAUUGCUGUAUUUCAUUUACCACAAUUGGAAGCUCCUACAGGCUACCAAAAUAUGCCAUCAAAAUGAUCUUACUUCAGCAAUGGUGGUCUUGUUACUUAGCAAAUGAAGUCAUUAUGGUGCAGCCUACCCUGUUAUUAUGAAAUAAUAAGAGUCUAAAGGAACAUUUUCUGAAAAUAUUGUAAAGAUAAAAUCAAUAAUUUAUUUUUUAGAGUAUUUGUGGGUAUGAUUCCCAAAAGCUACUAAAACAUAGUCAUAGUUAAUUAUCAGAAAUUGACUCAUAUGAGGUUAAUUUGGAACUGAAUAUGGGAAACUCAGUUUCUGUGUUUAUAUUGCUGCUAUGAUUGAUAGUGUUUAUAACAGUUGCAAGAUAUAUUUCCAAAAGUUUGAGAAUGAUGAUGAAGUAAGUUUUAAAUCCUUUCCAGUGGUAUUUUGGAACCUUAACUACUUUAGCGUUCUCUUCUUCUCACACUUGAAGUAUGAAUCAAUUCUGUGUUUGUAAUAUUUGGUAUUCAUUCUAGUGGACUCCCAUCCAUUAGAAAGCAACCAAAUGCCCCCCAGCUUUUUAAAAAAUGCUUCUAACUGUUGUAGUUCUUGUAACUGGAACUACUAGUCUUAGUAUUCUGUGUUUCUACACUGAUCUUAUGUCUCUCACUUCCUACUUGCCAUGGCUUUCAAGCUUUGUGACAUGUCUGUCUGCAAUAGCACAGAUAGAGAUCAUUCCUAAUGCAAAUGUAUGGAGUUUGUUUCCACUACAGUUCGUAUGUACCUUUCUUUUCAGUAUUUAUAACAGACUGUUCUGGGGAAGGAACCUUUCAUUUUUCAAAAGAGUAAGCAAAGAACAUCUCUCUGGUAGAAUCAUUACCGAUUUCUGACACUUUUAUUUUCUUAUUAGUGCAUCUCACUCCAGUGAGAUGUCUCCUCUCCAGAGGAGGACAUUUUAUGGUAUUCUACGCAUCUUAGCUGGCAUAAAAACAGUACAGCAGGGCUAGGGCUAGAGCUAGAUCUGUUGUUUAAAAUGCUGUUAAAUACUGUGCUUCACAGUAGGACGGUGCAUAAAUGAACUAUUAGUUGCAUGUAAUUUUCUUGGCUUUGUCUUCAAAUUUUAUAGCUGCAAAAGCAUUCAUGAUAUCCAUUCUGAAGUAGAUGUUAGUCUCUCAUCUGUUUGUGUUAGGAAAGCUGCUUGCAGAUGUAUUUUUUAGCUGUGAUAAGGGUUAAUUCGGGCAGAAACACUGAAAAAAAUGGCUUCUCAGGAGCACUUUUAAGUUAGCUUUCCAUCUUAAUUGAAGUGAUUAGCAAAUGAACUUCCUGUUCUUUGUGUACAAGCAAUAGUUGCACAAGGCUAGGUUUAAAAAAAAAAAAUUCCACGGAAAUACCAAUUAUUGACCAACAUCAUUGAGUAAAUUAAAGCACUGGAAAUGGUUAAUAUGAUCUCGUUUUACCAUUUCAGAGCUAUUUAGAUAGUGUAUUUAAUAGUUAAUUUUCUUUCAAUGUUUGACUUUAGGACCUUUCAAACUAAUUUAUUUCAGCUUUCCCUGUAGUGAUCAAAUGAACUUGGCACGAACAGGGAAAAUAUUUCCAUCAGUCCUAAUUUGCACUUUUCAUCCUGCUCCAGUUGUGAGCUGUGUGCCUUUCUGUUUGAUCUACUAUGAUGUCUGUUGGAAAGGCCAAGAGAUGUGUGAAUAGAUAGUGCUGUGAGAUCACUUCAUCUCUCUCACCACGGGGAAUGGCAGAUGUGGCCAUAUCUGAGAAUUGUAAAGCCUGUUCUAAAGAAAGAAUUCAGUCUUGACCUCUUAUAAAUCAUCACAUAUGGUCCAUUUAGCAAGGCUUUUCAAAUUCUGUGGAAAAAUAAAAGAUUUGUAAGAAUAAUGAAACAAAAGCCAUAGCCUGUAAUUUACAGAGGAUGAUAUCUUCAUGGCCAUGCUUUCUUCUUUUUAUUAUGCCCUGCUUUGACUCGCACAUGUUUUCACCAAUAUACCGUUUUUAAUUAAGUUAAAAGAUUUUUUCCUUCUGUGUUGUCAAAAGUAGUCUACCGCUUUUUUUCUCCCACCAGUAUUAUUGCCCUAUUGUAGACACUUCAGAGGCCAUACCAUUAAAUUUAUUUUCAAGGUUUUUUCUAAUUAGCUCUUAUUGCAAGUUAACAAAUCCUGACUAUACCAUGAAGCUGAUUGCACAAGAAAAUUAAAAAGGACUUCUUUUGUUGUUCAGGUGGGCAGAAUUUUUUUUGUCAGGACACAAAACAUGGUAGGAUAACAUUUCAGCUGAAGAAGUUACAAGCUCUAGGUAGAACAGUUAAAUAGAAU
ensembl:lncRNA